CCAGAAUUUAUUCCAGUAAUGCAAUCUGAAUAAAUACUACAAGCGCGCGAGCCUACUAGCUUGAGCUCUAAGCUCCGCCCACGUUUUUUCACAGCGCGUGACACCCAAGGUGGAUUGUUUGAUCGAAUAAACGCUGCCGCGCGCUGUCAGGAUCUGUCUGUCCGCAAAGGUAAUUUGAGGAUUUCACCUGUUCCGUCUCUGAUGGAAAACCGACAACAAGAGUUGUACUCUAGUGUUCUGAGCGAAGCAGUG
rnacentral:lncRNA from 1 species